AGCGAACGCUGGCGGCAAGCUUAACACAUGCAAGUCGAACGAUGUAGCAAUACAUAGUGGCGGACGGGUGCAUAACACGUGGGAAUCUGCCUUUAGGUACGGAAUAACUCAGGGAAACUUGAGCUAAUACCGUAUAAAAUCUCCGGAUCAAAGAUUUAUCGCCUAAAGAUGAGCCCGCGUCAGAUUAGCUAGUUGGUGGGGUAACGGCCUACCAAGGCGACAAUCUGUAGCUGGUCUUAGAGGAUGAUCAGCCACACUGGGACUGAGACACGGCCCAGACUCCUACGGGAGGCAGCCGUGGGGAAUAUUGGACGAUGGUGGAAACCCUGAUCCAGCUAUGGCGCGUGAGUAAUGAAGGCCUUAGGGUUGUAAAGCUCUUUUAGAUGGGAAGAUAAUGACGGUACCAUCUGAAAAAGCCCCGGCUAACUUCGUGCCAGCCGCCGCGGUAA
rnacentral:rRNA from 1 species